UGAAAACAUGGAGCUUGAUUUAAUGAAAACAUGGCUGAGUUUUUAAGGACGAGUUUACACGCAGUAGUCUCAUUGGGAGAAAAGUAAUAAUAUUGGGGGUUUGCUUCUGCUGCAUUCUUCUGCGCUUCCCAAAAACAAUGCAGUCCUGCCCCUUCCCUGAUACUAACCCCCCCUCUCUCUCUCUCUCUCUCUCUUAGAACAUUUUCUUUUUUGUUUUUAAUUUUGAUUUCAUUGCUUAGAUCUCCUUCAAUUUCAAUUAUAUUUGUUAAUUGUUUGUUCUGUUACUCUUUUGUUUGAUGAUAAGUUUAUAACCCUAACCUAAUUUCGCGCUUUGUAACCUAAUCACAGGUACUCUUUUGUUUGUUCCUGGUCUUCUGCAAUUCUUUCAUACGUUUCUGUCACUGUUCUUCAUAUGAGAAGAGUAAUGUUUUGGAGGGAAAAGUGAAAAUUUUGUUACUUUAUUAUGAAUGUGUGGAAGAGAAAAGCAUCACAUAUCAAUCCUAGUUUAAUGAUCAACCAUUGUUAAUUUUAGAAUGUAUAAUAAUCUUCUGCUUGAUUUCUAUUCCAAUUAAUCAGUAUGUUAUUUCAAAAUUUAGGUUUCUAUUCCUUGCAUUGGGUGGCUUGUUAUUUGGUUAUGAUAUUGGUGCCACCUCUGGCGCUACAAUCUCACUGCAGUCACCUGAGCUUAGCGGUAUAUCAUGGUUCAAUCUUUCUGCCAUUCAGCUUGGACUAGUGGUAAGUGGUUCCCUAUACGGGGCUCUUCUUGGCUCGCUUGUUGCAUUUGCCAGAGCUGAUUUCCUUGUUAGGUUUUUGCAUCGUGAUCACGACAUUCGCUGCUGCACACUAUUCUGGUCAUCACCACAGAUGAAUCGAAGUUGGAUGAAUGAAAGUCGCUUGAGCCCUGCAUAUGAGGAAGGCGUGGAAUAGUUCUUACAAUUUGCUUCAGAAAGAAGUCGACCUGAUGAAAAUGAGAAGUUUUUUGUCCAUGCAUAAAUUGUUUGAACAGGAGACGACAAAAAGUCGACAACAUACGAGAGCAUCUGUUGUGUGAUGGAAUUAAGAGGAAUUAUACGAUGUGGAUAUGGCAUGGUUAAUUGACAGACAUGCGGAGUGGGUCUCAAUCUGAACCGUUUGAUGUAGAAAUGGGAGAUCGCUUGGAGGAUAUGAUUUGUGACCUUAGACUAGAGUCUUUUCAGCUAGCACAUGCUCCUAUGUAUGAUACAUUGCAUACUGAUUCAAAGAAACCUUUGUAUUCGGGGUGCAAGAAUUCAUUGAUGCUGUUGUCGGUGGUUUUAAGUCUGGUUAAUGUCAAAGCUAGAUAUGGGUGGAGUGACAAAAGUUUUCGUUCACUGCUUCAAGUAUUGCACGACAUGCUUCUAGAGUGAAACACAUUGCCUAAAAGUUACUAUCAAUCGAAGAAAAUAUUGUGUCCCAUGGGUAUGGAGUAUCGGAAGAUUCAUGCUUGCCCAAAUGACUGCAUAUUGUACAGACAUCAAUUUCAAGAAAUUUCAAAAUGCCCUAGGUGUGGGGUAUCACGGUACAAACUCAAGGAUGGUGAGGAGUGUAGUAGUGAUGAAAACUCAAACAAGGGCCCUCCAGCGAAGGUGUUGUGGUAUCUUCCGAUCAUUCCAAGGUUUAAGCAUCUGUUUGCUAAUGGAGACGGCGCAAAAGACCUCACAUGGCAUGCAAAUGGGAGAAACUAUGAUGGAAUGCUUCGUCAUUUGGCUGAUUCCUCGCAGUGGAAGAAGAUAGAUCGUUUGUAUCAGGAUUUCGGCAAAAAUCUUAGGCUUGGACUAGCCACUGAUGGAAUGAAUCCAUAUGGCAGUUUAAGCACGCAACACAGUUCGUGACAAGUUUUGCUAGAGAUUUACAAUUUGCCUCCUUGGUUGUUCAUGAAACGAAAAUACAUGAUGUUGUUUAUGAUGAUAACGGGCCCAAGACAGCCAGGAAAUGACAUCGAUGUGAUG